GCCAGCAUGGUGUAGUGGUUGGACUGUUGGACUAUGACUUUGGAGACCAGGGUUCAAUUCCCAGCUCAGUCA